UGGGGAAUAUUGGACAAUGGGCGAAAGCCUGAUCCAGCCAUGCCGCGUGUGUGAAGAAGGUCUUCGGAUUGUAAAGCACUUUAAGUUGGGAGGAAGGGCAGUAAGCGAAUACCUUGCUGUUUUGACGUUACCGACAGAAUAAGCACCGGCUAACUCUGUGCCAGCAGCCGCGGUAAUACAGAGGGUGCAAGCGUUAAUCGGAAUUACUGGGCGUAAAGCGCGCGUAGGUGGUUCGUUAAGUUGAAUGUGAAAGCCCCGGGCUCAACCUGGGAACUGCAUCCAAAACUGGCGAGCUAGAGUAGGGCAGAGGGUGGUGGAAUUUCGUGUGUAGCGGUGAAAUGCGUAGAUAUAGGAAGGAACACCAGUGGCGAAGGCGACCACCUGGGCUCAUACUGACACUGAGGUGCGAAAGCGUGGGGAGCAAACAGG
rnacentral:rRNA from 1 species